GACCCUGUAGCUUAAGUGCAUAGAGCCACGGUUUCCUAAACCGUUGAUCCGGGUUGGAGUCCCGGCGGGGUCGCCA
rnacentral:tRNA from 1 species